GAUCAUGGCUCAGGAUGAACGCUAGCGACAGGCUUAACACAUGCAAGUCGAGGGGCAGCACGGUGUAGCAAUACACUGGUGGCGACCGGCGCACGGGUGAGUAACGCGUAUCCAACCUGCCCAUCACUUGGGAAUAACCUUGCGAAAGUAAGACUAAUACCCAAUGACAUCCCACGAAGACAUCUGAAUGGGAUUAAAGAUUUAUCGGUGAUGGAUGGGGAUGCGU
rnacentral:rRNA from 1 species